GCAGCCCGGGGCAGGGGACAGGCUGGCUGAGCUGGCGGUCCUCCCGGUAGUGCCCCCCCCUUCCUUCCUACUCCUUCUAACCCCCUCCAAAAACUUCUGGAACCACCUGUAAGCUUUGUUCUCUAAUACUUGGACAAAGCAAUCUACGCUUGGUUCAGAAUGACACUUUGCUGGAGGUAGGAGGGAGACCAUGCUGACACCCAGCAGAGGGCCCUGCAGCCUUGGGUAGAGGUUCCCUUUCCCUCUCCCCUCAAGGAAGCCAGGGAAACACAGGGAGCUGCAGUCACACCCAGCCCCACCUCUUCCCUGCUGGGUGACCCACAGCAGGUUACUGGCCCUCUCUGGGCCUCAGUUUUUUCCUAAAGUGAGAAUAAAAAAGUCUGUCCUGAAAGGUGGUUGGCUCAGAGGAUCCAAGGAGAGAGAGCGCUCCAGACCUUGGUACUAGGUGUUCGAAGAGGAGUUCCUUUCCUCUCCCAGCAGGUAGAGGACAGAGGUCUGGGGAGAUCCCGCGAGAUGAACAAAGGGCAGAAGGGGAACCUUUAAAGUUGGACUGGCCCUGCUCUCAUUCCUUCACAACACAUCUCCACUCUGAUGGCCAGACCAUCUCGCUAGUGAAAGCAUGUGAUCUUCCCGGGACCCCCACACAGCCUCUCUGGGGCACCUGCUGCUUUUGGGGAGAACGCGCCAAGCCCUCCUGUGACCUUGGGUGAUCCGGCCAUGGCCAGCCUCCGUGACAGCAUCUCCCACUGCUGCGACCCUUGCCCCUCUGCUCAGCCACACGGACCUUUCUGGAGCCCCUCAGACGCCUCAGCGCCCGGGCUUCCCUACCACUCCCUUGGUCUGGGAACUCCCCCGGAAAGCUGAGGAUUCAGGGUCAACAGCUCCUUGUCAGUGAGGCCCCUGGAGACCCAGACCUCAUCACACACCAUGACGCCGACGGUGCCUGCGUGAGAGGGUCCGGUUCUGUCCCCGAUGCCUCCUACCUCAUUCACCGGGUUCUUCAGGCCGAAAAGCUAAGAGCCCUGGAUUCAUGUCAUUCUCUCAAAGUCACAUCUAAUUGAUCAGGAAGUCCUACGAGCUCUUCACCGUACAUCCAUGUCCAUGCAUCCGAUCCCCUCCAGCCACUUCCGGCUGCCUCCAUGGCUACCAUCUUGGUCCAAGCCCUGGGUUAUUCCCAGGGUUAUUAUCGUCUCACGUGGGUAAUUCUAAAUGCUCCUCAACUGGUUUUCUGUUCCUGCACUAUUCUACAAACAGCUAGGAGAGGACUCCUUUAAAAAUGUAAGUCACAGGGCGCCUGGGUGGCUCAGUGGGUUAAGCUGCUGCCUUUG